rnacentral:misc_RNA from 1 species
AAGUCGUAACAAGGUUUCCGUAGGUGAACCUGCGGAAGGAUCAUUAAAAAGUUUGAGUGUUCACGCAUUCUAAUUUCCACCCUGUGUAUCUGUUACCGUAAGCUUUCGCUGGGCUGUGGAGCCGAGUCUUUGCGCUCGCCUCCCCUCCUGACCGGGCAACAAGCCCCCUCGGGAGAGUCCUGGCGGGAGCCAACCAAACAAACCCUUUUUCGUUACAUACAGUCUGAGAAUGAUCUAAAAAAUCAAUUAAAACUUUCAACAAUGGAUCUCUUGGUUCUC